AGACAUUUGAGACAACGUGCUUUUCAAGUCAUUUAAGACAGCGUGCUUUGUAAGACAAUUGAUACAUCGCGCGUUUUAAGACAUUUGAAAGCUCGUACAUUUUUAAAAAAAGUAUUGAGAGCUCGUGCUUUGUAAGGUGUCGGGAUAUCCCUGGUGUAUAUGAGGAUGCUGUAAUGUUCUGGUUUUAAAAUUGAUAAUAGAAUCAACAAGUGCGCCCCAUACUUAACAUAUCGACUGAAAGUCCACUCUUUAUGACGAUAGCAAAAUCUUUGGAGUGUUUGGUGGUAUGAGAUAACAGCUUGCAUUCCUUUUCGGCGCUCUCAAUAGUCAUUAACGUUGUUACUAUUUUCCCCGGGAACCAACCAAGAUAAUUACAUAAUUACUUUUCAAUUAAACGCACUCCGUCAUUUGGAAUUUUUAAAUUUUACACAAUAAAGAUCACUUGUUUUUCGCUUAAGAAUAAGUAUUAUGUAAACCUUUGACUUACGCUUACUGUGGAUAUCUGUAUCGAUAGGAGGCCGCAGACAAAGGAAAACAACGUGAGCGUGAGGCAGAGGAGGAAGAAGGAGACCUUGAUGUCACCGAACCAGACAGCGAAUGGGUUCGUCAAAAAAGAAUCCAGGCGCUGACCCGCAAUGAGGUUA